GCCGUAAAGAGCAACAUCUUUUUAUAGCGUGCAAACGCAUGCCGUAAAAAGUCUAUCAACGACGCACAUUCCCUUUUUUACGACAUUCAUUGUACGCCGUAAAAAAAAUUGAGUAUUUACGACAUGGCUUUAUAUGGCGUUCACAUGUAUGCCGUAAAGAACUUUUUACAGCAUGCAUUGUAUGCCAUAAAAAGCAAAAUCUGUUGUAGUGUUGUGAUAAUUUAAAAGGACUAAUCUAUAAAGCUUGUAAUACUCUGCCUCUCUAUCUUAACUUGUUAGUCCUUUUCUCCUUCUUGGCUUGAUGAUCUCUUGUUCUUAAAUUAUAGUGUUCGUUAUGGUGUUUCAAGAAUUGAUGAAUCUGCUGAUCUAUUAUAUGGUUAUCAAGUAUUGAUGUGAUAUUCUUUGAGGGUUUAUUUUUCUGUACUUAUAAUUAGCUUCAAGAUUGUUGAAAGUUAUGGUACGAAGGGUUCUUGCUGAUUUUAGUCACUAGCUGCGAAUUGUUUGACCCAUUUAGUGUAUUUUUUUUUUUUUUUUUUUUGCUGCAAUAUUAUUAUGGGGUAGGCUGUAAAUUUAAGUUUGGUCAAAUGUAUACUGAGGAAUUGAAAGGGGGGGCAGCAUAUGUGUGGUAAGGCUUUAUAAAUUGUUACAAAAUCAUCUAGAAACUUGAACUAAUUUAUUUAUUUGUUUUGGCGAAGCUGGGGUGAGUGCUGGAGUAGGUUGGAAACAAUUGUAACCUGUUUUCUAAGAUGAAGAUUGCAAGUAUAUAUGCUAAAUUGAUUAGUGAUGGAGUUAAUGAAACUUUAUUUGUUAAUGUUUGCAUAGUCUACAAAAAUUGAUAAAUUCAGUAAUUUUAAUCCAUUUAGGGCAUUUCAUUGGAUAGUGAAUGUUCAUCGACUUGCAUGAUUUGUGGUAACGAUUUCUUUGGUUGUGUUGGUGUUGAGGAGUAUGCACCAAGCUCUAUAAGCCAAGUUUUGUGUUCGUGGUGUUCUUUAAUUUCUGAAUUUGUUUACUUGCUUGUGGUAGUGUGUUUUUGGCCAAGUGAUAGAGAUUUUCGGUUGAUUGAGUUGCUGGAAAUAUAGGAUCAUUUGGUUGAAAAUCAGAUUUGGGACCAAGAAUCCCAACAAUAUCUUCGUUUUCAUUUGAAUUGAGUUUAGUUUUUUAUUUUUAAGUACGAAGUUAUUUAAUGUUUAUGUGUUUUGAUGAAUAUUUAACACUAGCUGCUAGAAGAAAAUGGGCUUUUCUUUUUCUGUUUUUUUGGUAACGCGUGAGUUUGCUUUCUUUUUUUUUCCUGGUAUGUAAAUCAAUUGGGAGUUAGUAUUUCUAUUUUGUGUGCCCAUCUGUCAAAACCAUCCCUUUUUGUAUGUAAAUCAAUUGGGAGUUUUUUUUUUUUUUUUUUUUUUAAUUUCUAUUUUGUGCAUCGUUCUUGUAUAUAGAUUGAGAUGCCCAACUGGCAAAAUCACCCAUAUUUGGAUGAAGUCAAUUGGGAAUUUUGCAUCUUUAUUUAGCUUUCUAUGUUUUCUUUGCUUCAUUUGGUGGAAAGCAAUUGUUUCAAUACAUAUUCAUGGGGAUUUAUACUCCUCUCGUAAGAACAAUUUGUACUCUUUUUUAAGAUUUGAUUCUAUUUCCAUAUACAUAUGUUUCUUUAGUGGUUGUAAAUAGUUUAGAUCUGUACUUUCAUUACUUUUGAUUGAUCUUGAUUCUGUUUAGUUACAUUUUUUUUACUCUUCCAUGAUGUUCUCUAUUUUGUUUUUAUUCAACUUUUUAAGAGCCAUUUACUUGGCAUAACAUGUUUGAUAUCUCUACAGGGUUCAAGUCACUAGAGAGUCAGAGACGAGGAAGUUGAUGGCAUGACACCGGUAGUGGGCGUUUCAGUUAAUGUAAUCCAUCUUUUUAUUAAUUUAAUUGUACUAAAUAGUAGUUUUAACUUAUAGUUGGGAAGUUACAAUUAAUGUACUUGUUAUUUG
rnacentral:lncRNA from 1 species